UACGGAGGGGGCGAGCGUUAUUCGGAAUUAUUGGGCGUAAAGGGCGCGUAGGCGGCACGACGUGUCCAAGGUGAAAUCCCUCGGCUCAACUGAGGAACUGCCUUGGAAACUGUCGAGCUUGAGGCCGGGAGGGGGUAGCGGAAUUCCCAGUGUAGCGGUGAAAUGCGUAGAUAUUGGGAGGAACACCAGUGGCGAAGGCGGCUACCUGGACCGGUUCUGACGCUGAUGCGCGAAAGCGUGGGUAGCAAACAGG
rnacentral:rRNA from 1 species